rnacentral:lncRNA from 1 species
CUUGAUGUAAUAUGCAAUUGAGUUCAAUAGUGAGGACCCUGUGUUAUGUCAAGGGUUUGAACCUGUGGAAAAACACUUGUUAGGAGGGAUACCAUCAUUAAAUCAAAAGGAGGGGCAAACAUGUAGUGUUUCAUACCAUCAUAGUCCAAAACAUAAUUUGUUGGUUUGGGGCUGCUUGAAAGAAAUCAAAUUGAGUGUAUCACAGUCCAGUCUCUGCAUAAUUGUAUUAUCACAUAGCACAUAACUCGAGAAAGGAACUUUUAUAUAUCUGCCAAUAUGUUAGAGCACGUAGACAGGUUUACUGUUAUUACACUAAAAUGUAGGACCAAAAUAUUCAAACAACAACAACAACAAAAAUCUUAUCCCACAGCAAUAAAAUAUUCAAACAUGAAAGGAAAAUGAAAAAUACUGAACCAAUAUUUGAAAAAUGAAAAGCACAUACCGAACCCUGAAUGAAAAACAUAUAGCUCUUCC